GGUACAUCGGUGACAGGUGGUGCAUGGUUGUCGUCAGCUCGUGUCGUGAGAUGUUGGUUAAGUCCCGCAACGAGCGCAACCCCUACGUUUAGUUGCUAACGCGUGAAGGCGAGCACUCUAGACGAACUGCCGUUGACAAAACGGAGGAAGGUGGGAUGACGUCAAAUCAUCAUGCCCCUUAUGUUCUGGGCUACACACGUGCUACAAUGGCCGGUACAGACGGAGGCGAAGCCGCGAGGCGGAGCAAAUCCGAAAAAGCCGGUCUCAGUUCGGAUUGCAGGCUGCAAUUCGCCUGCAUGAAGUCGGAAUCGCUAGUAAUCGCAGGUCAGCAUACUGCGGUCGAAUACGUUCCCGGGCCUU
rnacentral:rRNA from 1 species